UGUUACGAGCACACGGUGGAUGCCUUGGCAUCAGGAGCUGAUGAAGGACGUGGAAAUCUGCGAUAAGCCUCGGGGAGUUGAUAAACGAACUGUGAUCCGAGGAUCUCCGAAUGGGGUAACCCGGCUGCGUGUCAUGCGUGGUCACUCGUAUCUGAAUUCAUAGGGUGCGAGGAGGAACGUGGGGAAGUGAAACAUCUCAGUACCCAUAGGAAGAGAAAACAAUAGUGAUUCCGUGAGUAGUGGCGAGCGAAAGCGGAUGGUGGCUAAACCGGUUGUGUGUGAUACCUGGCGAGGGUUGCAUGAUCGGGGUUGUGGGAUGCGUUGUUCCUGGGGUCGCCACCCUGGGCGUUGUGGCGUCGUGGUAGUCGAACUGGUGGUGAGUGCCAGACCGUAGGGGGUGUGAGUCCCGUAGACGAAAUCAUGGUUGCUGUGGCGUGACGUUGUUCCCGAGUAGCACGGGGCCCGUGAAAUCUCGUGUGAAUCUGCCAGGACCACCUGGUAAGCCUGAAUACUUCCUGAUGACCGAUAGCGGAUCAGUACCGUGAGGGAAUGGUGAAAAGUACCCCGGGAGGGGAGUGAAAUAGUACCUGAAACCGUGUGCUUACAAGCCGUUGGAGCCUUUUGGGGUGACAGCGUGCCUUUUGAAGAAUGAGCCUGCGAGUUAGUGUUACGUCGCGAGAUUAACCCGUGUGGGGUAGUCGUAGCGAAAGCGAGUCUGAAUAGGGCGUUGUGAGUGGCGUGAUCUAGACCCGAAGCGGAGUGAUCUACCCAUGGCCAGGUUGAAGCGCGUGUAAGAGCGCGUGGAGGACCGAACCCACUUCAGUUGAAAAUGGAGGGGAUGAGCUGUGGGUAGGGGUGAAAGGCCAAUCAAACUCCGUGAUAGCUGGUUCUCCCCGAAAUGCAUUUAGGUGCAGCGUUGCGUGUGCUUGCUGGAGGUAGAGCUACUGGAUGGCUGAUGGGCCCUACAAGGUUACUGACGUCAACCAAACUCCGAAUGCCAGUCAAGUUGAGCGUGGCAGUGAGACUGUGGGGGAUAAGCUUCAUAGUCGAAAGGGAAACAGCCCAGACCAUCAACUAAGGCCCCUAAGCGUGUGCUAAGUGGGAAAGGAUGUGGAGUUGCUUAGACAACCAGGAGGUUGGCUUAGAAGCAGCCACCCUUGAAAGAGUGCGUAAUAGCUCACUGGUCAAGUGAUUCCGCGCCGAUAAUGUAGCGGGGCUCAAGUACACCGCCGAAGUUGUGGCAUGACACCGUAGAGCUGAGCCGUUUGUGGUUGAGGUGGUGUCAUGGGUAGGGGAGCGUCGUUGGGGUAGUGAAGCUGCGGGGUGACCCAGUGGUGGAACCUCAACGAGUGAGAAUGCAGGCAUGAGUAGCGAUAGACGGGUGAGAAACCCGUCCGCCGGAUGAUCAAGGGUUCCAGGGUCAAGCUAAUCUGCCCUGGGUGAGUCGGGACCUAAGGCGAGGCCGACAGG
rnacentral:ncRNA from 1 species